rnacentral:lncRNA from 1 species
UCAAGGCCCUGGAUUCAAUCCCAAGCUUUGCAAAAAUAAAAAUAAGAAGAAAAAGUAAAGUAUGCUAAUACUGAAAAACUAUAGCAAGUUGAUAUUUACAAACAUUUAAAUUCCAAGAAAUGUCCCGCUAUUUAUUUGUUGUGGCAAGUUUUUGUUUUUGUUUUGGUUCUUUUUUGUUGUUGUUACUUUUUUUGGCGGGGGGUGGUACCAGGGAUCGAACUCUGGUCCUUGUGCUUGCUCAGCAGGCGGCGAAACCACUGAGCUAAAUCCUAAAUCCGGGGCCUUUGUUGUUGUUUUUGUGUGGUUGGUUGGCUGGUUGGUUUGGUUUGGUGUGCUCUUUUUUUUUUUUUUGGUACUGGGGAUCGAACUCAGGACCUUACACUUUCGAGGCAGGCGGCGGUACCACUGAGCUAAAUGCCUGGCCCAUGGUUUGCUCUUUUUUUAAAAGCACAUUAGGUUGAUAAUCUUUUUUUCUGCUUGCUGGGCAUGGUGGCACACACCUGUAAUCCCAGCACUUAGGAGGCUAAGGCAAGAGGAUUGCCAUGAGUUUGAGGCCAGCCUGGGCUACAUAGUGAAUUUAAGGCCAACCUGAACUACAUUAGCAAGACCCUGUCUCAAAAAACAAACAAAAGGAAUCUUUUCUUCUGUUCAAGUAAGAUUGUAGAAUAGUUUUAAUUGGUAUUUAUAAUGAAGAUGUUUUUGCUUUGGAGAAAAAUGUGCAUUUAGCUUCUAAUGGUCUGAUUGAAUGAGUAUUAAUUUCAGAGUUGAAGAGACAAAGACAAAGCUGAGAGGAAGAGAAAAGCUGAAAUUUCCAGGCUACGAAGAGAAAAGAUCAUGGCCCAGAUGUCUGAGAUGCAGCGGCACUUUAUCGAUGAGAACAAAGAGCUCUUUCAGCAGACACUAGAGCUGGAUGGCCCUUCCUCAGCUGUUCUUGACAGCCGCCCUGUGGUUUCAGGUACGACCUUUCCAGCCCUGGGCCCAGCACAAACGCAGGUCCCUGAACACAGACAGUUUGUCACCUGUAUAUUAUGUCAACGGGAGCAAGAAGUUAAAGUGGAAAGUAAAGGCAUGGUCUUGGCAGCAUUUGUCCAGAGAUCAACUGUACUAUCAAAAAACAAGUGAAUUCAUCCAGGAUCCAGAAAAAUAGGAUCCAUUGUUCAUGCACCCUGAUCUGCCUUUCGGGACACACACUGGUAGCUAUGGGCACCUUAUGCAUGCCCAUUGUUGGCAAAGGUAAUUUAUAUUCUUAAUAUUAGCCAAGCGAAGCUCAUCAAAGAUUCAGAAUAAGAAUUUUAAUGAAAUUCCAUUCUAGAUAAAGGAAAAAGAACUAAAAACAUAGACAAAAAACCU